rnacentral:rRNA from 1 species
AUGAAGAGUUUGAUCCUGGCUCAGGAUGAACGCUAGCGGCAGGCCUAACACAUGCAAGUCGAGGGGUAACAGGGAGCUUGCUCUGCUGACGACCGGCGCACGGGUGCGUAACGCGUAUAGAAUCUACCUUGUACUGAGGAAUAGCCUUUGGAAACGAAGAUUAAUGCCUCAUAGUAUGUUAAGUUCGCAUGAACACUACAUUAAAGGUUACGGUAUAAGAUGACUAUGCGUUCUAUUAGCUAGAUGGUGUGGUAACGGCACACCAUGGCGACGAUAGAUAGGGGCCCUGAGAGGGGGAUCCCCCACACUGGUACUGAGACACGGACCAGACUCCUACGGGAGGCAGCAGUGAGGAAUAUUGGACAAUGGAGGCAACUCUGAACCAGCCAUGCCGCGUGCAGGAAGACUGCCCUAUGGGUUGUAAACUGCUUUUAUACAGGAAGAAACACUCUCACGUGUGAGAGCUUGACGGUACUGUAAGAAUAAGGAUCGGCUAACUCCGUGCCAGCAGCCGCGGUAAUACGGAGG